AAAAAAUCAAAUUAUUUACCUUCAGCUCUCUAUCUUCUUCACUACUUCAUUCAAUUUCUUCAAUUAUUUUGAGUUUCUAAGGAUAAUAAACACACUUUCACUACUGUGGAGCUUAGGAUUGGUGAAGAACAAGAACAAACAGUUGUGGCAAUAGAGCAAAGUAAAGAACAGCAUGCUGUGGUGUAGUUUAUCUGUUGACGUAUAUCGGAAAGUUAUCUCCUUGAACUUGUAUUGCCGUGUGAUUCUGUAAAAUACCCAAAUAAGUUCUUUGUAGCCUCUGGAUAGAUUACUGGUUCUUUUUUGUUUCUCGCCUUAGAAGUCAAGUAUUCAUUUUAAUCUCUUUCCAUGGGAUCUACACGUUUCGUCGUCAUACCUUGUUACGUUCGUAUGAUUAGCUGAGUAUUUAAUCACUUUCAUCUUAGUCUGGGUGAGAAUUGUCUUUGUUAGUUAGGUUUCAGCCUUACUGUUUCUUUCAUCCUGAGUCUUUGUGAGAAUCAUCUUUGUUAAUUAGCAUUCAGCCUUACAGUUUCUUUCAUAUUGAGUCUUUGUGAGAAUAUUUCCUUAGUAUUCAAUCUUUCUGUUUUGUUGUGAGUGAUUUUCCUCUGUCAUUUCUAUUGGAACAAUUUCUUUGUGGUGAUUGUUCAAUCAUUUUCUUGAGGGGAUUGUUUGGAAUUCUUUUGUUAGUUGAUUGCUUUGCUGGAAGAUUGAGGUGUUUUAUU
rnacentral:misc_RNA from 1 species